AGUACAACAUUGGCUAUCACCUCAUCUUUAAUAGAAAGUAGUCACUUUCUAUUGUAUUAUUGUAUGGAACAUACUUAUACUAAAACAUUAUUCUUUAUUUGAAAUUCAAAGAUAAGUGGGCCUACUGUAUAUUUCUUUUUGCUAUUAAUAAAUCUGACAACACUGAAAUAAACACACUUUAAGUUGUGUACGAAAUACUUUGAAUACUUUGUCCCUUUUCUUCCCAUCUCAGAUUUUUCUUUUAAUUCAAAUAGACUGAAAAAAUAUGUGAAUCUGUUUGAUCCAGUCCUAUUUAUUAUAUAUGUACAUAUAUACACACAUAACCAAAUGUACAUAAUUUAUACACACGACACAGAGUGCGCCCAAUGUUAUAGAACAUGUAAUACACACACUCACGGAAAGCACCUAUACACGAACAGAAUUGACUAUGUUGUUGAUAUGACCAUUCUGUGAAAUGUCUCCAGUGGCCUGUCGUCCUGCCCUUCAGUUUUUUCAAGUAGGAGCGUAAGGAAGACGUGGUCUCCAUGCGGAUUUAGACCCUGGCGAGCCUCAACGCGGAACGAAAGAAUGAGCGAAAUCGGUUGCAGUGGAGGUUUAUUUACACCAAGCACACACCUCUUCACCUUGGCCACACAGACCUGGGGAAAUGUUUUGCCAACGUACUCGGCAAUAGUUCCCAUGGUUUCCUUUGCUCCCAGCGGUUGCGCGGGCUUGGUUUUUGGAGCAAAGACAACGGAUACUGCUGAGGCUCCUCAGAAUGUGCCGUUUUCGAAGCUGCAGUAGCUCCAGUGUCCUGUUCUGUAGUGCCGAGAGGGGGCCUCGGGCUCCGGGGAGGAUGUGUUGCAGUUCGUCCAAGAGCCCCAAGGCCAGCAAAGCCUCCCACUCCCCGCUGGGGAGCAGCUCUCGCUGGAACGCUUGCUCUCUGACUGGGGAAUGGAAUGGGCUCAGUCAAGGCUCCCAAAACCAGCCCUGCUGCUCCCAUUUGUGGUCCCAUUCUCAUGAGCGGCUCUCUGCGCCGCAGGGCAUGACUUUCGCUUCUGCCUCCUCGUGCGCCUAUUGCGGCAACUACUCACGCUCCUGCGGGACGAGGACAGGGAGAUGAGCCCGUGACAGAGUUCUGCUGAACAUAUGCAAGUAGAGAAUGAAGAGCCAAAGAAAUGUACUACUUCGGUUUCUACAUCAGAAGCUGCAAGGAAUUUUAGCCAAUUCAGAGGCCUUGUUCCCCACAAUUUGGAAUUCUCAUUCAGAUUUGACCAAAUUGGGUAGAGUUGGUCAAAUCCAAUGGGAGAAAGACUGAAACAAUAACAAAAAAACCGCAACAGUAUGAUCACUGAGUAUUCUAAUGGUAAAGAGAAUUAAGACCAGCUGGUUGUCAAUUUUAACCUUUAGUUAUUAAGGAGAAUUUCCAAGACAAAAAAAAUUCAGUUAUUUACGUAGAAAUGGGUCUCAGACUGAAGACUGCUCUCUACCAUCCUAGAAGUGGGAAGAAACUCAAACUUGCCGUCCUUGUUGAAAGCAAGCUCAAACUCCAGAAAGGAGUUGCCUGCCUUCCAUCGUCAUGGAAGCAGGAAAACUUGCCUGCCUUGUUGGAAGCAAGUAAAACUCCAGAAAAGGAGUUGUACAGCAAAAUAUACUUAAGAUCUCAAUGAAAUUUUGGGAGAUCAGGGAUUCUCUGGAGGGAGGGGAGCUCCCAGGCCUCAGGAAAUUGUCCUAUUGGUUUGAGCUAUAAAGAUAGCUCAAGUUGGUACCAAGUACCAACAGGAGAUUUGCCAAAGGUCAGGGCCACCUCCACUGAGUCCCUUUGUGGUCACCAAUUUGUAAACUAAAAAGUAUCUGAGACAAGUCUCAAUCAAUUGAAAAAAUUUAUUUUGCCAAGUGUCAGGUCCAGGGGCAGGUUCCAGCCCAUGCUGAGGUCGAAAGGAAGUGGGUGGAUGGGUGGCAGAUAGCUGAAAGAACACUCGGGUCAAGGGAGUGGGGGGCGUAGGCAGGUGAAAGAUGGUUUUAUUCAGCAGCUCUCUUACACUGUCUCUAUCUUCGCUAAUUGCUGCAGCUACUCCCAUGCACAGCCACACGGCCAGCUCUCCCUUCAGGGUCAGCAGCUUAACUCUUUCCCUCUGGGUGCAAGCAAGCCAAACUGUGUCCUGGCUUCCCGCUGUCCAUCUGCAAGACAGACAGCUCUGGCUCUCUCUCUUUCUCUGGGUGCACCUGUACAGCAUCAGCAGGGUAGUUGUACCUUUUGCAGACAAUAGUGGCUCUGAGCUGAGUGAUGAGCCUUCCCAUGUUAUGGCUACAUGGCUGUGAUUAUAUAACAAGUGGAGUUAUGUGCCUGUAUACCAAACUUGUUGAGUCAUGCAGGAUGUUUACCUCAGCCUAUGUCUGCCUGGCUUCAGUGCAGCCAUGUUCCUUACACCAAGGUUAAGGAUGCGCCUGUGACACAGCCUCAGUAUGUCCUGACAACAUGUGCUCAUGGUGGUUGGGAUACAGCUUGGUUUUAUAUGUUUUAGGGAGACAUGAGACAUCGAUUAAUAUAUGUAAGAUGUACACUGGUUCGGUCCAGAAAGGUGGGACAACUCGAAGCAGGGAGGGGGCAUCCAGGUCAUAGGUAAAUAAGAGACAAAUGGUUGCAUUCUUUUGAGUUUCUGAUUAGCCUUUCACUGAAUGCACAAUUUACAGGAAUAGUCACUUAUGCCUUAGUCUGGCUUAGUGAAACAAUAGGGCAAA